AGUGAACGCUGGCGGCGUGCUUAACACAUGCAAGUCGAACGAGAACGGAUUAUAGCUUGCUAUAAUUGUCAGCUAAGUGGCGCACGGGUGAGUAAUGUAUAGGUAAUAUGCCUCUUACUAAGGGAUAACAAAUGGAAACGUUUGCUAAUACCUUGUACUCCUUAUUAACAGAAGUUAAUAAGGGAAAGAUUUAUUGGUAAGAGAUUAGCCUGUAUUGUAUCAGUUAGUUGGUGGGGUAAUGGCUUACCAAGACUAUGACACAUAACUGGUUUGAGAGGAUGAUCAGUCACACCGGAACUGAAACACGGUCCAGACUCCUACGGGAGGCAGCAGUGGGGAAUAUUGCACAAUGGACGAAAGUCUGAUGCAGCAACGCCGCGUGGAGGAUGACACAUUUCGGUGCGUAAACUCCUUUUAUAUGAGAAGAUAAUGACGGUAUUAUAUGAAUAAGCACCGGCUAACUCCGUGCCAGCAGCCGCAGUAA
rnacentral:rRNA from 1 species